UGUUGCAGACUGCUGCAUAGCAACUUCAAGAAGCCGGAAUGCCUCUGUUACAUCAUUCUUUUCAACCUGCAUAAUCCCAAAGGUAUGACAUCAUAACCCACCUACAGAAGAAAUGUUACAAUGCUGAAGCAGAAAAUAUGAACUAACCUGUUCGGAGAAACGAAUUCGAGCAAGUGCUUCACUGAUACGUAUCAAGCUCUCUAUUUGUCUAGGUGUUGCAGUUAUGACCUGAAGGAUAUUGCAUACAAAGGAUAUCAGAUCAAAUAAAAGCACCGUCGUUUGUCAAGGUUCAUGGAAAGUUCAUAAUUUUUUAUAUACUACUAGUUUCAGACACACAACAUGCCUUUUUGCUACUGCCGG
rnacentral:lncRNA from 1 species